CUUGCUUUCUUUGCUGGCGGCCGGCGCACGGGUGAGUAACACGUAUCCAACCUGCCCUUUACUCGGGGAUAGCCUUUCGAAAGAAAGAUUAAUACCCGAUAGCAUAAUGAUUCCGCAUGGUUUCAUUAUUAAAGGAUUCCGGUAAAGGAUGGGGAUGCGUUCCAUUAGGUUGUUGGUGGGGUAACGGCCCACCAAGCCUUCGAUGGAUAGGGGUUCUGAGAGGAAGGUCCCCCACAUUGGAACUGAGACACGGUCCAA
rnacentral:rRNA from 1 species